AAUUGCAAUUGAUACUGGCAGUCUUGAGUACAGUUGAGGUAGGCGGAAUUCGUGGUGUAGCGGUGAAAUGCUUAGAUAUCACGAAGAACUCCGAUUGCGAAGGCAGCUUACUAACCUGUAACUGACAUUGAUGCUCGAAAGUGUGGGUAUCAAACAGGAUUAGAUACCCUGGUAGUCCACACGGUAAACGAUGAAUACUCGCUGUAGGCGAUAUACGGUCUGCGGCCAAGCGAAAGCAUUAAGUAUUCCACCUGGGGAGUACGCCGGCAACGGUGAAACUCAAAGGAAUUGACGGGGGCCCGCACAAGCGGAGGAACAUGUGGUUUAAUUCGAUGAUACGCGAGGAACCUUACCCGGGCUUGAAUUGCAACCGAAUAUGGCGGAAACGCCAUAGCUAGCAAUAGCGGUUGUGAAGGUGCUGCAUGGUUGUCGUCAGCUCGUGCCGUGAGGUGUCGGCUUAAGUGCCAUAACGAGCGCAACCCUUGCCGAUAGUUACUAACAGGUCAUGCUGAGGACUCUGUCGGGACUGCCAUCGUAAGAUGUGAGGAAGGUGGGGAUGACGUCAAAUCAGCACGGCCCUUACGCCCGGGGCUACACACGUGUUACAAUGGGGGGUACAGAGGGCUGCUACCACGCAAGUGGAUGCCAAUCCCAAAAACCUCUCUCAGUUCGGAUUGAAGUCUGCAACCCGACUUCAUGAAGCUGGAUUCGCUAGUAAUCGCGCAUCAGCCACGGCGCGGUGAAUACGUUCCCGGGCCUUGUACACACCGCCCGUCAAGCCAUGGGAGCCGGGGGUACCUGAAGUGCGUAACCGCAAGGAGCGCCCUAGGGUAA
rnacentral:rRNA from 1 species